UGUUCGUUGUAUUGCUCUUGGUGGAGUUCAUUCUAUUGCUCUUACUUCGCUUGGUCAGCUUUUCACUUGGUCAGUGCUUAAUCCGCUCUGCAAUUUUUUUUAAAUUAAAUCUCUUUUGUUUAGUAAAUGUGGGUAUGUUUCGGUAUCUUGAAAGUGCCGUGGCUUUUUUUCUUUGUAGCUGUUGAGGAAUGUAAUCGCUGUUUAAUUUUGGGGGAAGAAGAAAAACGAAGAUUGAAGUAAAAAUUGGGUUAAAAGAAAAGAAAGAGAAAUAAACAGAGGUGAGGGUUAACGUGAGACAAAAGGCUCAUUACUCUCCUUCUCUUCCUCCAUUCCCUCCACUACAUCAUUCUUUUAGCACCAUUGCCAUUAUCAUUAUUCCUUUUACUCACUUCCACUGCCCCCUUCGUACUCCUCUUGCAUCAUUACCCUCUAUUCCUUUGACUUUAACCGCCCCGUCAUUCCUCUCCUCUUCUUCAUAAACUUCUUCUUCCUCUUCAUCCUCAUAAACAUCCCCUUCUUCAUCAUCUUCUUCUAAUUCUGUCAUGUUCCUCUUCGUCUUCAUCAUCAUCAUCAUCAUACUCAGCUGAAGCACCACCUUGGCCAUCAGAUUCAUCGUAAGAGUGAAUCUGGAGCCUUCAAUUCAUUCGACGCUCAAAUUCUGUCUCCUCCUCCUCCUCAUCGCUUGUUUCCCUUCUGUGCAGAACGAGAGAGUGUAUCACUUCAUCUGGAUCGUUCUCAUACUUAUCCACAGCCUCCGCCUCUCCCGCAGGAAUAUGCACACUUUGAGCGAUUGGAAGCUCUGAAUCUCUCUCAUCCUCCGCCUCCUCCUCAUCAGUGGCUUCCCUUCUGCGCAUCACAAGAGAGCGUUUCAUUUCAUCUGGAUCCCUAUCAUACUCCUCCACCGCCUCUGCUUUUUCUGGAGCUGCAGCCGCCGUUGUAGUAUCGCUAGCCAUCAAUUUAGGAUUAGAUGCCCAAUCUUUUUAUGAAUUUUAAUUUAAAUUUUAUAAAAAAUUCGAAAUUGCACUUAACCCUUCUUACUGAAACUGUAACUAGAGGAAAUUGCACUCAAACAAAACCAAAAAAUUUCAAAA
rnacentral:lncRNA from 1 species